rnacentral:rRNA from 1 species
CAAUAGCGUAUACUAACGUUGUUGCAGUUAAAAGCUCGUAGUUGGAUUUCUGUUGUGGGAUGCCGGCCGGGUUCUCUGAACUUGUAGCUAGGUUAUCUUGCAGCAUCUUGGCGCAAAUCUCACUGGCAUUCAUUUGUUGGUGUUGACGACCGCCUCGUUUACUUUGAGAAAAUUAGAGUGUUCAAAGCAGGCUAUAGCUUUUGAAUAUAUUAGCAUGGAAUAAUAUUAUAGGACUUUGCGUUCUAUUUUGUUGGUUGUUCGAGGACGCAAGUAAUGAUUGAUAGGGACAGUUGGGGCAGUCAGUAUUCUGAAGCGAGAGGUGAAAUUCUUGGACCUUCGGAAGACUAACAACUGCGAAAGCACUUGCCAAGAGUGUUUUCAUUAAUCAAGAACGAAAGUUAGAGGAUCGAAGAUGAUUAGAUACCA